rnacentral:rRNA from 1 species
CCUGGCGGCCGUAGCGCGGUGGUCCCACCUGACCCCAUGCCGAACUCAGAAGUGAAACGCCGUAGCGCCGAUGGUAGUGUAAAUUCCCCAUGCAAGAGUAGGGAGGGAACUGCCGGGC